rnacentral:rRNA from 1 species
CGAACGCUGGCGGCGUGCUUAACACAUGCAAGUCGAACGAAGAGCGAUGGAAGCUUGCUUCUAUCAAUCUUAGUGGCGAACGGGUGAGUAACGCGUAAUCAACCUGCCCUUCAGAGGGGGACAACAGUUGGAAACGACUGCUAAUACCGCAUACGAUCUAAUCUCGGCAUCGAGGAUAGAUGAAAGGUGGCCUCUACAUGUAAGCUAUCACUGAAGGAGGGGAUUGCGUCUGAUUAGCUAGUUGGAGGGGUAACGGCCCACCAAGGCGAUGAUCAGUAGCCGGUCUGAGAGGAUGAACGGCCACAUUGGGACUGAGACACGGCCCAGACUCCUACGGGAGGCAGCAGUGGGGAAUCUUCCGCAAUGGACGAAAGUCUGACGGAGCAACGCCGCGUGAGUGAUGACGGCCUUCGGGUUGUAAAGCUCUGUUAAUCGGGACGAAAGGCCUUCUUGCGAAUAGUGAGAAGGAUUGACGGUACCGGAAUAGAAGC